rnacentral:rRNA from 1 species
CAGUCGCCGCGGGAAUACGGAGGGUGCAAGCGUUAAUCGGAAUUACUGGGCGUAAAGCGCACGCAGGCGGUCUGUCAAGUCAGAUGUGAAAUCCCCGGGCUUAACCUGGGAACUGCAUUUGAAACUGGCAGGCUAGAGUCUUGUAGAGGGGGGUAGAAUUCCAGGUGUAGCAGUGAAAUGCGUAGAUAUGCGGAGGAACACCGAUGGCGAAGGCAAUCCCCUGGGCCUGUACUGACGCUCAUGCACGAAAGCGUGGGGAGCAAACAGGAUUAGAUACCCGCGUAGUCCCUGUCUCUUAUAA